AUGACAGACUCAGAAAGUUACUUUCUGAUAAGUGGGACUAAGUUGGCACGGACACAGAGGAAUACAAACAUGGAUGCAAACGGCCGGUAUGAAAUUGUAGCAGAGAAAGCAAAAUAUUUGAAAGGACGAAGUAUCUCAGAGUUAACUCUAACCAUAUCAAGGGGUGGGACUGCACUUCCCCACUGUGUGCAGCUCUCAUGGCAAGGGGAAUAGGGAUGAUGCUGCAUCAGUACUGGCAAGACUACCUGAUGGAGGGGGAGACAUCUCAAAAGUCUGUACAUUCAAAGGGUACAAGAGCAACAAGUAAACUCCUUGUGACCCCUGAGGUGAAAUAAGGAAGAAAAAAUGCAGAAUGUUUCUCCAAACUUAUGGCUUUCGAAGGAUGUGCACAGAUGACUACCAAAAU
rnacentral:lncRNA from 1 species